AUUGAACGCUGGCGGCAUGCCUUACACAUGCAAGUCGAACGGCAGCACGGGUGCUUGCCCCUGGUGGCGAGUGGCGAACGGGUGAGUAAUACAUCGGAACAUGUCCUGUAGUGGGGGAUAGCCCGGCGAAAGCCGGAUUAAUACCGCAUACGAUCUACGGAUGAAAGCGGGGGACCUUCGGGCCUCGCGCUAUAGGGUUGGCCGAUGGCUGAUUAGCUAGUUGGUGGGGUAAAGGCCUACCAAGGCGACGAUCAGUAGCUGGUCUGAGAGGACGACCAGCCACACUGGGACUGAGACACGGCCCAGACUCCUACGGGAGGCAGCAGUGGGGAAUUUUGGACAAUGGGCGAAAGCCUGAUCCAGCAAUGCCGCGUGUGUGAAGAAGGCCUUCGGGUUGUAAAGCACUUUUGUCCGGAAAGAAAUCCUUGGCCCUAAUACGGUCGGGGAUGACGGUACCGGAAGAAUAAGCACCGGCUAACUACGUG
rnacentral:rRNA from 1 species